CCUACGGGAGGCUGCAGUGGGGGAUAUUGCACAUUGGGGGAAACCCUGAUCCAGCGACGCCGCGUGUGGGAAGACGGUCCUCUGGAUUGUAAACCACUGUCCCCAGGGACGAAGAUGCCGGUACCUGGGGCGGAAGCUCCGGCCAACUACGUGCCAGCAGCUGCGGUAAUACGUAGGGAGCGAGCGUUGUCCGGAAUUACUGGGUGUAAGGGGUGCGUAGGCGGGGAUGCAAGUUGGGUGUCAAAACUACGGGCUCAACUGGUAGUCGCACUCAAAACUGCAGCUCUUGAGUGAAGUAGAGGCAGGCGGAAUUCCUAGUGUAGCGGUGAAAUGCGUAGAUAUUAGGAGGAACACCAGUGGCGAAGGCGGCCUGCUGGGCUUUUACUGACGCUGAGGCUCGAAAGUGUGGGGAGCAAACAGGAUUAGAUACCCGUGUAGUC
rnacentral:rRNA from 1 species